rnacentral:rRNA from 1 species
UACAGAGGGGGCAAGCGUUGUUCGGAAUUACUGGGCGUAAAGGGCGCGUAGGCGGUCUGUUAAGUCGGACGUGAAAUCCCUCGGCUCAACCGGGGAACUGCGUCCGAUACUGGCGGGCUUGAAUUCGGGAGAGGGAUGUGGAAUUCCAGGUGUAGCGGUGAAAUGCGUAGAUAUCUGGAGGAACACCGGUGGCGAAGGCGGCAUCCUGGACCGACAUUGACGCUGAGGCGCGAAAGCCAGGGGAGCAAACGGG